CACGUAGGGCGCAAGCGUUGUCCGGAAUACUGGCGUAAGGCGCAACGCAGGCGGAGUCGGAUAAGUCAGGGGUGAAAUCCCGGAGCUCAACUUCGGAAUUGCCUUUGAUACUGUCUGUCUUGAGUCCGGGAGAGGUGAGUGGAAUUCCUAGUGUAGAGGUGAAAUUCGUAGAUAUUAGGAAGAACACCAGUGGCGAAGGCGGCUCACUGGCCCGGUACUGACGCUCAUGUGCGAAAGCGUGGGGAGCAAACAGG
rnacentral:rRNA from 1 species